UACGGGAGGCAGCAGUGAGGAAUAUUGGUCAAUGGACGAGAGUCUGAACCAGCCAAGUAGCGUGAAGGAUGAAGGUCCUACGGAUUGUAAACUUCUUUUAUAAGGGAAUAAACCCUCCCACGUGUGGGAGCUUGUAUGUACCUUAUGAAUAAGCAUCGGCUAACUCCGUGCCAGCAGCCGCGGUAAUACGGAGGAUGCGAGCGUUAUCCGGAUUUAUUGGGUUUAAAGGGAGCGCAGACGGGUCGUUAAGUCUGCUGUGAAAGUUUGGGGCUCAACCUUAAAAUUGCAGUUGAUACUGGCGUCCUUGAGUGCGGUUGAGGUGUGCGGAAUUCGUGGUGUAGCGGUGAAAUGCUUAGAUAUCACGAAGAACUCCGAUUGCGAAGGCAGCACACUAAUCCGUAACUGACGUUCAUGCUCGAAAGUGUGGGUAUCAAACAGGAUUAGAUACCCUGGUAGUCCACACGGUAAACGAUGGAUACUCGCUGUUGGCGAUAUACUGUCAGCGGCUUAGCGAAAGCGUUAAGUAUCCCACCUGGGGAGUACGCCGGCAACGGUGCAACUCAAAUGAAUUGACGG
rnacentral:rRNA from 1 species